AUCCAGCUGAAGAAUCUCGAAUAGGAUGAAACGCGCGUCAAACUGGAU
rfam:Schistosoma mansoni strain Puerto Rico chromosome W, complete genome